CAAUUUGUCUCGCUCCGGCAGUGACAAUACAGAGAUCGGAGCCAGCAGUCACGGCGUAGUCGACGGAGGCAUGGAUCUUAGUACGGGGGAGGAAGGCGGCGGCGUGCUGGAGGUCAAGCAUUUCGCCUCGGAGCUUGUCGGGCUUGGCGUCGACGAGGACUAGCUCGUCGGUGAGGUCUUGAGUGAGAAUGGUUUGAGCGAUGGCCAUUCCGACGUUGCCGGCGCCGAUGACGGAGAUCUUGGUUUGGCGUUUGGUGGAGGAAGGAGGAGCGGCGUUGGUUAUGGGUUUGAAAAAGACUUGGGUUAGGUCCAAGUCUCCUGGACCAAGUGAUGAACCUGAAGGACUCUGGUGCAUGGUGUUUGUGAUUGUUGGUGACGUGGAAGGUUAGUUAAGGAAAUUGAUUUGUGAGAGUGAUGAAAAGGAAGGGUUUUGGGGUUUGCGGAUUUUAUAGUAAGAGGGAGAAAGUAAUGAUGGAAGAGGGUAAUACUGUGGGUGGAAAAGAAACUAUGGAAAUUAAAGAAUGGUUUGAGUGGGGACCAAGGCGAGGGCUUUUCAAUGGUCAACCUUGUAAUUCUAGAUAAUCAGAGGAAAAAUUGGGUCAUUUGGGUCGCUGUCUGCAUUUUCAAAGAUGCACAAGUUACUGUAGUAUGCAUAUUAUGUGGUCGUCUUCUUAGAUUAAACUUGAUUAGAUUUUUUUUUAUUUGUAACUUAUUUGUUGGGCAAUACAAGCUUGUCAUGAAAUAACAAAAAAAAAAAUCAUAUCAAAUGACACUUCUAUUCCUUUAUUUAUGAUGAGAAUGUAUUUUUAUGUUUAAUACUAAAAGAAAAAACAAUAUUUCUUUAUUUAGUAUUAGAGAUAAGUCUGACUCUAAAAACUUAUAAUUAGUUAUGUAUUGACUCAGUUAAUAAAUUAUUAAAGUCUUGAGUAAACAAAAAAUGAAUAUAGUUUAUAUCUUUUAAAAAAAUGAAUUUGUAGCAUUUCAAAGUUAUUUUUAAGAAGCUAUUACGUUAAGAAAAUAAAAGUAGUUUUAAUAAUUUGUUUUUGAAUUUCAUCCUUUCAAAUUUUAAAAAUUGCAUUAUUACCCCAAAUGAAAAAAACUCUGUUAUUUGAGGGACCAUAUUUUCUGUUCCACAAAGUGUGUUACUUCAUGUGUCAUCAUUGUUACAAAAAAUGAAUAAUUCAAGUGUAUUAGUGAGUGCUAGUUAAGUUUGUUCAUACUUACUACUUUUAGUUAGAAAGUUUUGAAAUUCUGUUUUGGUAGUUAAAAUAUUUUCUAUAAAAAGGAAUGUAUUUCUCUUUGAAUAUUUUAAUAAAAUUGGUGAAUCAUACACUUCAAUUAUCUCUCUUACUUCAUUCAUUUUCUCUAUGAUUCUAACAAUUGGUAUCUAAAGCACAUUUCAAUCCAAGGACCUUAGACCCACGAUUCUAAGCCAUAUCAACUCACCCCUACGAAAUUCAUUCUAUUGUGUGUAGUGUGUAACUCGAAAUUCACUAUGUGUGAAUUAUCUGAGUAAUUGAAGCAGCACCUUGAAGUUAUUGAGAGAGAUGGAAGUUGUGCAAAAGGGUUGAGAAGUUGAAGGUAAGAUUUGGCUUCAAUAUGGUUGGAAAUGGAAGCAAUCUCCCAUCUAUGAGUCUUCACAUUCUGACUGAGAAGAAUUGGUAUCGAUAGAGCAUACAAAUGAAGGUGUUGUUUAGAUUUCAAGAAGUGGGUGAUGCUGUUGAGAAUGGUCUUCUUACCUGGUCUAGAGGCAACAGAAAGUCAGAGAACAAUGUUUCAGGAGGCCAAAAAGAAAGAUAACAAUACACUAUUUCUACUUCAUCAAUAUGUUGAUGACAUACACUUUGAGAAGAUUCAGAAUGCAACUACUUCCAAGGAAGUCUGGGAGAUCUUGAUUCGGAGCCAUUCUAGUGGAGACAAGAUCAAAAAGGUUAAACUCCAAACACUUAGGAGGCAAUAUGAACUAAUUCAAAUGGAAGAAAUGAUAAAGUUGGUGAUUACUUCAUAAAGGUACUCACAAUAACCAACCAGAUUAAAGGUUGUGGAUAAUUGGUGACAGAUCUCAUGAUCAUUGAAAAAAUCAUGAGAUCUUUGCCUCAUAAAUUUGACUACAUUGUAAUUGCCAUAGAAGAGUCAAAACAUGUCUCUAGAAUGAAGGUUAGAGGGCUUCAAAGCUUAUUAGAAGCUCAUGACAUGAGACUCCUUGGAAGAAAUCACAUUAAGAGCUUUGAACAAACCCUAAAGACAAUUCACUUCAGAGAUGAAGAUAAAAAGAAAAACAGAAGAUGGAAAGGAAAGAAGAGAAAAAGUGAUCUUGAUUAGCCAAAAUCUUCAUACGGAAAAGGAGGGCCAAGAAAGAAUUAGAAACAAAUGAAGUAUGACAAAAGGAAUGUGGUGUAUUUCAAAUGCCACAAGAUAGGGCAUUACUCUAAUAAUUGUUCUAGUGAUAAAGGAAAGAAGAACGUUCAUGAGAAAGAAGCUUAUACAGCACAAGAAGAACCUGAAAAAGAACCACUAACUCUUAUGGUCACAAAUUCUAUAGAAAAUAGUUAUGAGUCAUGGUAUCUUGACUCAUGAUACUCAAAUCAUAUAACUAGUCACAAGGAAUGGCUUACAAAUUUUGAUCCAAGCAGAAAAAACAAAGUGAAAUUUGUAGAUGAUAGUACAUUGAAGGUGGAAGGAGCUGGUGAUGUUAUAAUUCUAAGGAAGAAUGGCACAAAUGCCUUAAUCUCUAAUGUGUUGUUCAUUCCUGGAUUGAAGUGAAGUCUAUUAAGCAUUGGCCAAUUCGUGCAAAGGGGACUCACUACAAUAAUGGAAAAUGGUUAGUGUGAGUUGUUUGAUGCUGAAAAAAGAAUCAUCCUAAGAAAUAAGUUGAUCAAGAAUAUGACAUUACAAGUGAACAUUAAAGUUGUUGAAGUUCAAUGCUUUGCUGCCAUGGAAUCUACUGAAGAAAUUUGCUUAUGACACUCUAGGUAUGAUCAUUUGAAUUUCAAAGCUUACACCAACUUGGUUUAUCUAAUAUGGUACUUGGAAUUCCUCUAAAUGUACUGCCUGAGAAGAUGUGUGAAGUCUGUAUGGCUGGCAAGCAAUUCAGAAGACCCUUCAAGUCUUAUUUGAGCAUGAGGGCUAGAGAAAUACUAGGAGUUGUGCACUCAGACAUAUGUGGUCCAUUUGAAGAACCAUCACUAGAUGAAAUAAAUAUUUUAUUACCUUUGUUGGUGAAUUCAGUAUGAUGAUUUGGUUAUAUGUGUUGAAAUUGAAAGUGAAGCGUUUGAGGCUUUCCUAAUAUUCAAGGCUUCAGUUGAGAGGGAAAGUGGAAAAAUGCUCAAAGUUCUUAGAACAGAUGGUGGAGGUGAGUUCGCAUAUAAUGCAUUCAAAUUAUACUGUCAAAAGAAUAAUAUUAGACAUGAAACCAUUGCUCCAUAUACCCCUCAACAUAAUGGACUAGCAUAUAGGAGAAACAGGACAAUCAUGGAUAUGGCUUAGAAGCUUGAUCAAAGAUAAAGGCAUGCCACAAAGAUUCUCGGGUGAAGCAGUAUUAACCUCACUAUAUAUCCUGAUUAGAUGUCCAACAAAGAAGCUUGAAGGGAAAGUUCUAAUUGAAGUUUGGACAGGACAUAAACCUAUUGUAAGUCAUCUCAAGGUGUUUGACUCACUUGCAUUCAAGCAUGUACCUUACCAGAGAAGAUCCAAACUUCAAGGUAAGAGUGAAGCAAUGGUGUUCAUUAGAUAUCAUCCUACUGGUGCCUACAAACUUUAUGAUCAUGUCAAAGAUAGAGGGCAGAUUAGCAGGGAUGUUAUUGUAUUAGAAAAUGAAAUCUAGAACUGGGAAAAGAUGACAACCAUCUUGAGGAGAAUUAUGCAUUAGAUUACUAAUGAAGAUGUUAUCUUAGAAGGUGAAAAUGAAAGGAUCAGUGAAGUCCCCACUACUCAAAGAUCACAAAGGAUGAGAUCAAUGCCUAUCAGGUUCAGUGACUAUGAGGUGCAUCAUGAUAAUCAAAUUAGUGAUGAAGGUGACUUGGUGCACUUAGCACUUAUGGUUAAAGCAUAACCAAUUAAUGAAGACUUCUACAAAAUAAUGUUUGGAAGGAAGUAAUGGUUGAAGAACUCAGAUCCAUUGAGAAGAAUAAAAUAUGGAACUUGGUUGAACUUCCAAAAGCCAAGCACUAUAUAGGAGUGAAAUGGGGUUUUAAGCAAAAACUUAACCCUGGUGGAUCCAUAUCUAAGCAUAAAGCAAGAUUGGUAGCCAAAGGGUUUCUACAAAAGAGAGGUUUAGAUUACUCAAAGUAUCAUAGUUACUUUUAUUGGGUAUUUGAAGGUUUAAGAUUUCAUCCAAAAACCAAUUGACAAUGAAAGGAAUAGUCCAACAUGUAUUUUAAGCCAUGCAUAAGAGAACAAGACAGGUGAUGUGCCACUUAGUUAUACUCACUUCUCCACAUGCACAUGACAAUUUGAAAGAAUUUGGGCACUCGCGUGAUGUUAAGGUUUCAUUUCAAAACAAAUUAUCAAUGAGAAGAUAGUUCAACCAUUCUAUGAGAACGAGAUAGACAAUGCUAGAUUUAUUUCCCAACAUGCACAUGAAAAUAGGAAGUUAAGCUUACGUUAGAACCAAUUGAUAAUGAGAAAAGUAGUCAAUCAAUAUUUACACCAUAAGACCAUUUGAGUUGCUAUAGCGAACAAGUCCCAUAGUGGGUAGAAGGAAGUAUAUAGCUUAAAAAACAUAGUGGAUGAACACAUGGAUCUAAUGUUUCCUCCAAAAAAUAACUAAACAGCUAAAGUACCUGGACAUCCUGAGCAUUAACGUCGAGAUGAUCGGCGAUGAGAAAACGAAAACGCGACGAAUCCAAAUUAGUACCCGACCCGAUAACCCGAUUGGACGGAAAACCAGAGAGCUUCCAUGCCACAUAGGUAAGAAUAUCCACCGGAUUCGAAACGAUUAACAAAGUAGAAUCAGGGGAAUACCUUACCAAAUGAGGUAUGAUAUUCUUAAACAUGCUCACAUUUCUCUGCAGCAGAUUCAACCGUGACUCGUCGGCAAUUUGUCUCGCUCCGGCAGUGACAAUACAGAGAUCGGAGCCAGCAGUCACGGCGUAGUCGACGGAGGCAUGGAUCUUAGUACGGGGGAGGAAGGCGGCGGCGUGCUGGAGGUCAAGCAUUUCGCCUCGGAGCUUGUCGGGCUUGGCGUCGACGAGGACUAGCUCGUCGGUGAGGUCUUGAGUGAGAAUGGUUUGAGCGAUGGCCAUUCCGACGUUGCCGGCGCCGAUGACGGAGAUCUUGGUUUGGCGUUUGGUGGAGGAAGGAGGAGCGGCG
rnacentral:lncRNA from 1 species